CUUUUUAGCUCACCUGACCUGAAAGGUCAAGUGAGCUUUUCUCAUCACUUUGCGUCCGUCGUCCGUCGUCCUGCGUCCGUCGUCCGUCGUCCGUCGUCCGUAAACUUUUACAAAAAUCUUCUCCUCUGAAACUACUGGGCCAAAUUUAACCAAACUUGGCCACAAUCAUCAUUGGGGUAUCUAGUUUUAAAAAUGUGUGGCGUGACCCGGUCAACCAACCAAGAUGGCCGCCACGGCUAAAAAUAGAACAUAGGGGUAAAAUGCAGUUUUUAGCUUAUAACUCAAAAACCAAAGCAUUAAGAGCAAAUCUGACAUGGGGUAAAAUUGUUCAUCAGGUCAAGAUCUAUCUGCCCUGAAAUUUUCAGAUGAAUCGGACAACCCGUUAUUGGGUUGCUGCCCCUGAAUUGGUAAUUUUAAGGAAAUUUUGCUGUUUUUGGUUAUUAUCUUGAAUAUUAUUAUAGAUAGAGAUAAACUGUAAACAGCAAUAAUGUUCAGCAAAGUAAGAUUUACAAAUAAGUCAAUAUAACCGAAAUUGUCAGUUGACCCCUUUAGGAGUAAUUGCCCUUUAUAGUCAAUUUUUAACCAUUUUUCGUAAAUCUUAGUAAUCUUUUACAAAAAUCUUCUCCUCUGAAACAACUGGGCCAAAUUAAACCAAACUUGGCCACAAUCAUCAUUUGGUUAUCUAGUUUUGAAAAUGUGUGGCGUGACCUGGUCAACCAACCAAGAUGGCCGCCACGGCUAAAAAUAGAACAUAGGGGUAAAAUUCAGUUUUUGGCUUUUAACUCAAAAACCAAAGCAUUUAAAGCAAAUCUGACAUGAAGUAAAAUUGUUUAUCAGGUCAAGAUCUAUCUGCCCUGAAAUUUUCAGAUGAAUCGGACAACCCGUUGUUGGGUUGCUGCCCCUGAAUUGGUAAUUUUAAGGUGAUUUUGCUGUUUUUGGUUAUUAUCUUGAAUAUUAUUAUAGAUAGAGAUAAACUGUAAAAAACAAUAAAUGUCGGCAAAGUAAGAUCUACAAAUAAGUCAACAUGACCGAAAUUGUCAGUUGACCCCUUUAGGAGUUAUUGCCCUUUAUAGUCAAUUUUUAACCAUUUUUUCGUAAAUCUUAGUAAUCUUUUACAAAAAUCUUCUCCUCUGAAACUACUGGGCCAAGUUAAUUAUAGAUAGAGAUAAUUGUAAGCAGGAAAAAUGUUCAGUAAAUUAAGAUGUACAAACACAUCACCAUCACCAAAACACAAUUUUGUCAUGAAUCCAUCUGCGUCCUUUGUUUAAUAUUCACAUAGACCAAGGUGAGCGACACAGGCUCUUUAGAGCCUCUAGUUGUUUAUAUUUAUGAAAACUUAAAUAUGCUGUUUUAUAGCAAAGAAAUAAUGUUGCAGGUUUUUUUUCAAAGUAUACAACUACCAACUGAUUCUUAAAAUAAAUAACAGUAUUAUCAUAUAUAAUUAAGAUUAUCAUUUUAAAAACAUUUUUGACAUUUUACCAGAAUUCUUCAUAUUCUUAUUUUCAGAAAAAUUGUUACUUUUUUAUGUAUUUUUUUUAAUUAUCAAUUGUUCUUAUUUUCUGUGUAUGUUUGCCUUAGAUAACAUUAUUUAUAUCAUUAUUAAUGUACAAUACAAUUGUAAAUAGUAGCCAAGCAGAAAUUUGCUAUUAUUUAUUGUGUAAUUUAUUAUUUUUUUUGGCACAUUGUGUUCAUAAGGUGGCCAUAAAAAAGACUGCUGUCACAUUUUGCAAACAGAUGAAAAAUUUUAUUUUGGAUAAUUAAACAUAAAAAAAUGUCAUUCAGAAUAAAGGUUACUGAUAAAAGAA